rnacentral:tRNA from 1 species
GCCGGGGUGGCGGAACAGGUGAGACGCGCCCGCCUUAAAAGCGGGUGUCCCCUCGGGGGCGUGCGGGUUCGAGUCCCGCCCCCGGCA